UACGGAGGGUGCUAGCGUUGUUCGGAAUCACUGGGCGUAAAGGGCGUGUAGGCGGUCUGUUAAGUCUGAUGUGAAAUCCCCUCGCUCAACGAGGGAACUGCGUCGGAUACUGGCAGACUCGAGUACCGGAGAGGAAGGUGGAAUUCCCGGUGUAGCGGUGAAAUGCUGUAGAUAUGACAUAGAACACCAAUUGCGAAGGCAGCUGGCUACACGAAUAUUGACACUGAUGCACGAAAGCGUGGGGAUCAAACAGG
rnacentral:rRNA from 1 species